rnacentral:rRNA from 1 species
UACGAAGGGGGCUAGCGUUGUUCGGAAUUACUGGGCGUAAAGGGCGCGCAGGCGGCUCUUCAAGUCAGAUGUGAAAGCCCCGGGCUCAACCUGGGAACUGCAUUUGAGACUGGAGAGCUUGAGUUCGGGAGAGGAGAGCGGAAUUCCCAGUGUAGAGGUGAAAUUCGUAGAUAUUCGCAAGAACACCGUGGCGAAAGGCGGCCUGCUGGGCCGUAUGACUGACUGAGGC